UACAGAGGGGGCAAGCGUUAUUCGGAAUUAUUGGGCGUAAAGGGCGCGUAGGCGGCUUGGCAAGUGGAAGGUGAAAUCCCUCGGCUUAACCGAGGAACUGCCCUCCAAACUGCUUUCGCUUGAGACCGGGAGAGGUGAGUGGAAUUCCCAGUGUAGCGGUGAAAUGCGUAGAUAUUGGGAGGAACACCAGUGGCGAAGGCGGCUCACUGGACCGGUACUGACGCUGAUGCGCGAAAGCGUGGGGAGCAAACGGG
rnacentral:rRNA from 1 species